rnacentral:rRNA from 1 species
GACGCUGGCGGCGUGCCUAAUACAUGCAAGUCGAACGGCUUUUCUAUGGAAGCUUGCUUCCACUGAGAAGAUAGUGGCGAACGGGUGAGUAACACGUGGGUAACCUGCCCAUAAGAGGGGGAUAACAUCCGGAAACGGGUGCUAAUACCGCAUAGUUUUCUUGAUCGCAUGAUUGAGAAAGGAAAGACGGCCUUUGUGCUGUCGCUUAUGGAUGGACCCGCGGCGUAUUAGUUAGUUGGUGAGGUAACGGCUCACCAAGACGAUGAUACGUAGCCGACCUGAGAGGGUGAUCGGCCACAUUGGGACUGAGACACGGCCCAAACUCCUACGGGAGGCAGCAGUAGGGAAUCUUCCGCAAUGGACGAAAGUCUGACGGAGCAACGCCGCGUGAGUGAAGAAAAGGUUUUCGGAUCGUAAAACUCUGUUGUCAGAGAAGAACAAGUUGGAGAGUAACUGCUCCAGCCUUGACGGUAUCUGACCAGAAAGCCACGGCUAACUACGUGCCAGCAGCCGC